CCUCAUCACAAUCGAUUGUCAUAAGGUUCACAAUCGAUUGUCAUGCAGGUUUGAAAAACCUGAUGCUCACUGCCUUAACACAAUCGAUUAUCAUGAGUUCACAAUCGAUUGUCAUGCAGUCUUGGCUCAACAUAAUCGAUUAUCAUAUGUACAUAAUCGAUUAUCUUAGUCCAGUUUUUAGAGGCAUGUAUAAAAAUCAUUUUGACUAAUG
rnacentral:lncRNA from 1 species